AUGGUAGACCCUGGAUUCAAGCUUUGCGCUCCAGUUCUGAAGAGAGCAGCAGGUAGACCAAGGAAGAGUCGAAUCAGACCUCGCAGUGAAGGAUCUGGACUAGGAGCGAGGAAGCGUAAGUGCACAAGGUGUGGUGGGUCUGGUCAUUUCGGUAAGUGUUGUGAUAACACAGUAGAUCCAGCGUUCGGAGAGAGUUUCGAUGAAGGCUUCGAUGAAAAUGUUGGUCAGCAGCCGGUUGCCUCAACAGAUGAUGAAAAUGAUGAUCAACAGCCAGUUGCAUUAGAUGAGGAUUUUGACGAGGUUCUAAAUGAUGAUGAUCAACAACCGCAUGAUUUUGACGAUGAUCUAAAAUAUCCUCCAAAUGAUGUUUCAAAUGAGGCUCCAAAUGGUGAUCCAAAUGAGCCUCCAAAUGGCAAUGGUGAUCCAAGUGAGGCUCCAAAUGGUGACCAACCUUCUGUUGUUGUGAGUUCUGUUAGGUAUGUAAAUCUUGCAAAUACUAUUGUACAUUUAUCACUUGACAUUAUCUCAUUACCCUUUAUGUUUUGCACAGCUCUGCGGUAG
rnacentral:rRNA from 1 species